UACGUAGGGUGCGAGCGUUGUCCGGAAUUACUGGGCGUAAAGAGCUCGUAGGUGGUUUGUCGCGUUGUUCGUGAAAUCUCACGGCUUAACUGUGAGCGUGCGGGCGAUACGGGCAGACUGGAGUACUGCAGGGGAGACUGGAAUUCCUGGUGUAGCGGUGGAAUGCGCAGAUAUCAGGAGGAACACCGGUGGCGAAGGCGGGUCUCUGGGCAACAACUGACGCUGAGGAGCGAAAGCGUGGGGAGCGAACAGG
rnacentral:rRNA from 1 species